rnacentral:rRNA from 1 species
UACGUAGGGUCGCACGUUAUCCGGAAUUAUGUGGCGUAAAGCGUGCGUAGGUGGUUUGUUAAGUCUGUUGUGAAAGCCCCGGGCUCAACCUGGGAAUGGCAAUGGAUACUGGCAGGCUAGAGUGCGGUAGAGGGUAGUGGAAUUCCCGGUGUAGCGGUGAAAUGCGUAGAGAUCGGGAGGAACACCAGUGGCGAAGGCGGCUACCUGGACCAGCACUGACACUGAGGCACGAAAGCGUGGGGAGCAAACAGG